rnacentral:ncRNA from 1 species
AAAGAGUUUGAUUAUAGCUUAAAAUUCAAGAAUUUUUUGGUUUACAUGAUAUUUUAGUAAAAUUGUUUAUUUUUAUUCGACAUCAGUAAUCAUUUAUCAAUUUAUUAAGGAAACUUAGAUUGUGCAAAAAAUGAUGCAAUGGGGGUAAUAUGAAUGCCAGCAGCCGCGGUUAUAUUCAAUCAUAAAUUGAAUGAAUUUGGGUUGAUUAGAAGCUUUAAAAUUUUAAAAUUCUUACUGUAUCUAGUUUCGUUUAAGGGUUAAAUCUUUGAUUGUCUGUCUAAAAUUCUGUCUGUAAGAUAAUGGUUUCUUAUUUAAUUAUGAUGUGAAACCAAGGUUAGAAUCUUGUUAUCCAUAACGUAAAAUUUUUAUUCCUCUUGACUAUAUAUUAAAUUAUUAAAUGGAAAUAAAUUGGCGGUGUUUGAUUUAAAAAACAGGGGAACCGGGGUGUUAAAGGAUGAUCCACCUACAUUUGUCCCCAUAUUUAUAGCGUGUGUAUGGUUGUUGAGUUAACAAUGAAAAUUAUUGGCAUAAAAUUUGUUAUAGUAUGCAAACAGAAUUCAGAUUAACAUGCAGCUAUAUGUGGGUAAGCCUGGGUUACAUUUAAAAUUAAUUUUGAGUUUAAUAAAUGAAUAAACUAAAGAAAUUUUUUUUUGAAAAAGGACUUGUAUGUAAUUUAAUUAAAUAAAGUUAAAAUGAAUACUAUCAAAUGAGUACAUAUCGCCCGUCGCUCGCGAAUUUUAAUUUGGGAUAAGUCGUAACAAAGUAACUGUACUGGAAAGUGCUGUUAAAUUAA